rnacentral:rRNA from 1 species
UACGUAGGGGGCAAGCGUUGUCCGGAUUUAUUGGGCGUAAAGAGCGUGUAGGCGGUUAGGUAGGUCCGUUGUGAAAACUCGAGGCUCAACCUCGAGACGCCGAUGGAAACCAUCUAACUAGAGUCCGGAAGAGGAGAGUGGAAUUCCGCGUGUAGCAGUGAAAUGCGUAGAUAUGCGGAGGAACACCGAUGGCGAAGGCAAUCCCCUGGGCCUGCACUGACGCUCAUGCACGAAAGCGUGGGGAGCAAACAGG